UUGCUUUAGCAAUAUAUAAACUAAAGUUGGAACAAUACUGAGAAAAUUCUCAUGGCCCCUGCACAGGGAUGACACUCAAAUUUAUGAAGCAUUCCAUGAUAAA
ensembl:snRNA U6 U6 spliceosomal RNA